rnacentral:rRNA from 1 species
AUUGAACGCUGGCGGCAGGCCUAACACAUGCAAGUCGAACGGUAACAGGAAGAAGCUUGCUUCUUUGCUGACGAGUGGCGGACGGGUGAGUAAUGUCUGGGAAACUGCCUGAUGGAGGGGGAUAACUACUGGAAACGGUAGCUAAUACCGCAUAACGUCGCAAGACCAAAGAGGGGGACCUUCGGGCCUCUUGCCAUCGGAUGUGCCCAGAUGGGAUUAGCUAGUAGGUGGGGUAACGGCUCACCUAGGCGACGAUCCCUAGCUGGUCUGAGAGGAUGACCAGCCACACUGGAACUGAGACACGGUCCAGACUCCUACGGAGGCAGCAGUGGGGAAUAUUGCACAAUGGGCGCAAGCCUGAUGCAGCCAUGCCGCGUGUAUGAAGGAGGCCUUCGGGUUGUAAAGUACUUUCAGCGGGGAGGAAGGGAGUAAAGUUAAUACCUUUGCUCAUUGACGUUACCCGCAGAAGAAGCACCGGCUAACUCCGUG